GCAACUAUAAGUUAAUGGUAGACUGCUCGUCUUCCGAACGAGGUGUGUCGAUUCGAAUUCGACUAGUUGCA
rnacentral:tRNA from 2 species